rnacentral:rRNA from 1 species
CUCACUAUAGGGCCCUACGGGAGGCAGCAGUGGGGAAUUUUGGACAAUGGGGGCAACCCUGACCCAGCAACCCCUCUCUUGAUGUGAAGAAGGCCUUCGGGUUAUAA